GACGAACGCUGGCGGCGUGCUUAACACAUGCAAGUCGAACGGAAAGGCCCUGCUUUUGUGGGGUGCUCGAGUGGCGAACGGGUGAGUAACACGUGAGUAACCUGCCCUUGACUUUGGGAUAACUUCAGGAAACUGGGGCUAAUACCGGAUAGGAGCUCCUGCUGCAUGGUGGGGGUUGGAAAGUUUCGGCGGUUGGGGAUGGACUCGCGGCUUAUCAGCUUGUUGGUGGGGUAGUGGCUUACCAAGGCUUUGACGGGUAGCCGGCCUGAGAGGGUGACCGGCCACAUUGGGGCUGAGAUACGGCCCAGACUCCUACGGGAGGCAGCAGUGGGGAAUAUUGCACAAUGGGCGGAAGCCUGAUGCAGCAACGCCGCGUGCGGGAUGACGGCCUUCGGGUUGUAAACCGCUUUCGCCUGUGACGAAGCGUGAGUGAUGGUAAUGGGUAAAGAAGCACCGGCUAACUACGUG
rnacentral:rRNA from 1 species